GCCGAACACCACCCAGGCCAACACGCUGUCUCUUCCAGAGUACGAGGUCUCUCUGGGUUGUGAAGCUAUUUGGUGGUGACCCUGCCUCUGCCAAGCAGGGAUGGAUUGCCAAGGCACACGGACUCUCCCAGCCUCUCCAACGCAAUGAGGGCUGUGAAAAGCACAUGAAGAAGGACCUGUGUUUCUCGGACUUCGUGAAUGGGGGAUGCAUGGCGUUGAUUGCAACUGAAAAAUCAAGCCCAGGAGUCUCUGGUUGGUGCCUUGUGAUUGUGCCUGAGCCAAAGCACCUCCCAGCAGCCGCCACCCUGGCCUGAGGGACACAGGACUAUCUGUGACACAGCCGCUGAAACCAGAGAAAUGACAGACAUGCAAGCUGCAUCCAGAGAUGAAAUGAAAUCAUCCGUAUGAGGAUAAACAUGAAGUGCUGUAUGGUGGCCAGGAUUAGUUGAUAAAGAAGAUACGGGAGAGGUAACUGGUCCUGCUUCAGAGGGAAACUGUAUAGCCUGUGAAGUGCAGCUGCCACUUUGAGAUGAGAGACAAACUAUAUCCGUGUCAUGCUCCAUCCUUGUCAGGAGUUCCCUUCCCUGACACACACACACACACACACACACACACACACACACACACACACCUUCAAACACUCGGAAAAGUGUGAAUGGAAGCCAUUCUUAAACUUCCUUCUGGAGUGAUAGACAGCCUGUUAUAAUCACUGGUCCACAUAGCAAGCAGGGGUGCAGAUUUUUUCUCCCUCAUAGCUAUGUUGCUAAUGUUGUGCUAUCUAGUACCUUCUUUUCUGGAGUACUGUACAUGACGACAAGGGGAACUAUAACAUCAUAAUGUGGUCCCAAUUCCUUUUCACCAUGGCAUCUAGUUGAAACUGAUAUUGCUGGGGAAAGGAUGUGUCAUUAUGGGUGUAUGUGAUAUGUAUUUGGCAUGCAUGAAUAUCCGAUGGUAUGCAUGUGUUAUGUACAAAGUAUAUGUAUUUGUGGAGUGUAUAUGUGGUGUGUAUGCAUGCAUGUCUGUGGGGGGGUAUACGCUGUGAGCCGUAUUGUCAAUCUCUCCGAGCAGACUUGGGGUCUCCAUUGUAGGGGCAUUCAGAAGCAUCCCACCCCUCCGAGCAUCCCAGCCCUUAAACAGUCUCUACCAGGGUUUGCUGUCAAUUGCUGUGCAAGUCAGAAGUGAGCCUGCUUCAAAGAUGUGAGUGGCUUUUGGCAGACAGGGCUGCCAAGCCCCUGGAAAGACCGGCAUGAGUGGUGGUGGUCUCCCCAGCCGCACACAGUUGGAGCAGGCAGGAUUCCUGGAGUGGACAUGCCUACUGGGCUGGGCUCCUGCCUGCAGAUGCCCAUGUUUACCCACAGUGGGAUGGAGGAACCUGGACGCUGAGCAGGCUCCCCAGGAAUUUGGACAGCCACCCCUGGACAGCCACCAAGGCUCUGCCUUCCAGACUGAGAUGGAGCACUGCACAUGUGAUAGUGGCAUGAAUGCCACAGACGAGAAGAAAACAUGAGAUUGGGGACAGGAUGACUCACUUCAUUUCUGUGUGCUCAUCGGCUAGCAAAGAAGGUAACCUGUGGGCAGGAGCCCAACUCAGCGCCUCUCAGUCUAAAUGUCCCAAGACUGCUGCAUUCCAACCAGCCUGUCACAGGCUCACUCUGAAUCCCCCAAGCAGGAGCGGCCUUGAAGAUUUCCCCUUUCCCCUGCCACAGGUACUCCUUGCCUCUAUACAUGCCUCUGGAGAAAGUGUAGCAGUCGCGGAGGAGACAGGACUGGGGACUCGUCGCUGUCUGGGCUACGCCACAGCAAUUGUUGUGGGUUGUGUUCCAUGUGAACCAAGCCACCCCUGCCCCCCACCCUCCAUCCACACCACACCCCCUCUCCCUGUGAGGAGUCAUGACACCAGGAUGUCCUGCAGCCUAGAUGCGGCUGGAACACAGGAAGGUUGCAAACUGUGGUGACAAUCAUUCUCCUCAAAUCCCAGGUCCUGCUGCCUUGUGUCAACUCAGGCCCUAGUGAACUAGCUAUACUCUUGUUCCCAGGCCCACUCAAGACUUAGUCUGUGCGACCUCAACCAAGUCGUAACGGCCACCUAAAGCCUAGUAGCACAUCAUGGGUCUUCCUUCUUCCUUAGGACUCUCCACCAGUCAGUCCUGUGGGAAGGAAAUUGGGAUUAAGAGUCAGACACAAACAGCACCAAUUCUUCAAAUACACUGACCGUAUACACUCGGAGCUGGAGAGAUGGCUCAGCAACAAAGAGUGCUUUAUGUCCUUGCAGAGGAACUCAGCUUCAAUUCCCAGAAGCCAUAGGGUGGCUCACAAUCAUGCGUAACUCCAGUUGCAGGAGAUCCAAUGUUCUCUUCUGACUUGUGCGGGCGCCAGGCAUGCAUGUGGCACACAGACAUACAUGUAAGAGAAGUACUCAUAUGCAUAAAACAAAGUAAGUAAAUCUACAAAAAAUAAAUGUAUAUAUUCAAUUCAUAGAGUAUAUACUCAGUUUAGGGUCUCUAUGUCUAACCUAAACAUGGGCUCAGCAGAACCUACCACCUAGGCAGAGCUGGGAUUAAUAAAUGAAACAGAGUCUUUCGAA